UGGGGAAUAUUGCACAAUGGAGGGAACUCUGAUGCAGCGACGCCGCGUGAACGAAGAAGGCUUUCGAGUCGUAAAGUUCUUUUAUAUGGGAAGAUAAUGACGGUACCAUAAGAAAAAGCCCCGGCUAGCUACGUGCCAGCAGCCGCGGUAAUACGUAGGGGGCUAGCGUUGUCCGGAAUCACUGGGCGUAAAGGGUUCGCAGGCGGAAAUGCAAGUCAGGUGUAAAAGGCAGUAGCUUAACUACUGUAAGCAUUUGAAACUGCAUAUCUUGAGAAGAGUAGAGGUAAGUGGAAUUUUUAGUGUAGCGGUGAAAUGCGUAGAUAUUAAAAAGAAUACCGGUGGCGAAGGCGACUUACUGGGCUCAUUCUGACGCUGAGGAACGAAAGCGUGGGUAGCAAACAGG
rnacentral:rRNA from 3 species